AGCUCGAAAAGUUGCAGCGCCCUCUGCAGGUCGGCGUCAGAAGACAUGAACAAAGUUAAAUCGUCCGCAUAUAGGGCUAUCUUAGCCCUUUGUCCACCACCCCCAGACCCGUCAAAGGAAUCAGGACAAGCAACAGUCGCUGUUUCGUCGUCCCAUCUGCAAUACCUCCUGAAACUUGAAGGUCUUCGGUGUACAAAGAAAGAUCAAAGAUCCUCUUACCAGGAAAGUCCUGCAAGCAAAAGAUGUCCUCAGGCUCCAACUUCAAGGCUUUGAACAGCACCUCUUCUUCAAAGGUAUCCCUUGAGUCCAGCUCCGUCUUCUCGCCUCCAGCCCGUAGCACAAAACGCACAGCAUGCCUCACUCAUCCUUCUCGUGUUCUUGAUGCUCCUUCCAUCGCAGAAAAAAAAGGCCGGAAAUCUCCGCCUCUGAAUAA